rnacentral:rRNA from 1 species
GUUGCGGACAGUGUCUGGUGGGUAGUUUGACUGGGGCGGUCUCCUCCUAAAGAGUAACGGAGGAGCACGAAGGUUGGCUAAUCCUGGUCGGACAUCAGGAGGUUAGUGCAAUGGCAUAAGCCAGCUUGACUGCGAGCGUGACGGCGCGAGCAGGUGCGAAAGCAGGUCAUAGUGAUCCGGUGGUUCUGAAUGGAAGGGCCAUCGCUCAACGGAUAAAAGGUACUCCGGGGAUAACAGGCUGAUACCGCCCAAGAGUUCAUAUCGACGGCGGUGUUUGGCACCUCGAUGUCGGCUCAUCACAUCCUGGGGCUGAAGUAGGUCCCAAGGGUAUGGCUGUUCGCCAUUUAAAGUGGUACGCGAGCUGGGUUUAGAACGUCGUGAGACAGUUCGGUCCCUAUCUGCCGUGGGCGCUGGAGAACUGAGGGGGGCUGCUCCUAGUACGAGAGGACCGGAGUGGACGCAUCACUGGUGUUCGGGUUGUCAUGCCAAUGGCACUGCCCGGUAGCUAAAUGCGGAAGAGAUAAGUGCUGAAAGCAUCUAAGCACGAAACUUGCCCCGAGAUGAGUUCUCCCUGAGACUUUAGGUCUCCUGAAGGAACGUUGAAGACGACGACGUUGAUAGGCCGGGUGUGUAAGCGCAGCGAUGCGUUGAGCUAACCGGUACUAAUGAACCGUGAGGCUUAACCUUACA